rnacentral:lncRNA from 1 species
CCCGUAUGAAGCGUACAGCAUUGAACUCCGGACAUCUAAGCCAUUAGAAAGGAGAUCAUUUGUGACACCACGCAGGGUUUCAAGAGUCGAAUGGGUUACGUCAUAUGUUGGAAGGACAAUGUCUCUUGAAUCCACAGAGCCACACCAUGAGAUGAUGGGAAUAGGCCCAGGCGUAUCAUUGACUUUUCGGUACUCAACUGGCCAGUCUCCAACAUUAAGAUAAAACUCCACAUUGGGGAGAUGAACCUAAAUGUAUACCCAAGAAAGUAUAAUAACAUUGGUAUAAAUACACUGCUGUUUGCCACUCUUGAGUAGAACUCUCAGCUCUCAUGUGAUGAAGAAUCAAUAAACAAAUAUUUUACAAAUUUAGAUGAUCUUAAGAUUCUAAUUUCAAAUUUCUGUCCAGUAAGUAAGUAUGAAAGGAACACCUUCAGAGGUCAGGAAGCCUACAGGGUUGGGUCUUAGCUCCUACAGAUUUUCU